rnacentral:lncRNA from 1 species
GUGAUCCUCAAGCAAUGCAUCCAAAUCAGGACCCAUAAAAAUCAGCCCAUAAUCACAUUUUCUUAGUGUCUUUUGCUUCAAUAAUAUGCUAAAGUCAUUAUAAAUCCUUUGUCUGAAAGAUAUAAUGACAAAUUUUCAUCCAGGCAACUUGGAUAAAAUAGGGAGCCAAAUACUACAUCUUCAAGAAGCCUUUUUCUAAUGAGAUUACUAUAAAAAUGACUUUCACUGCCCAGCAAAGAAAGAACUGAGGCAGUUUGCUACAGAAUUUAGAUGCACUUGGCCCAAAUUCAUCAAGAUACUAAGGAUUUAGGGGAAAGGAAAGAGUUCGCUUUCUUUGCCUGGGUAGUAGCUUCACCUUUCACCUUCCUUUGUUACUAGUUGUCAAGUUCUUAAAAAGCUCAAGUACUGAGGUAUAGAAGUAGCUUAUUGAGAAGUCUAUACUAUUGCCUUCCAAAAUUAACAUUUAUUAACCACGUCCUACACUACGUGCUAGAGAUUUUGCAUAUAUCAUCUCAUUUAAUUUUUAUACCACAUCCUCAGAAAAAUGUGUAUCAACCCUGAUUUUUCAGUUAAGGACACUUAUCUUUCAAAAUUCUAUAUACUGCCAAAGCAACAGGUCCAGUGGGUAACAACAGAUUUAAGCUCAGUUUCAGCCCAUAACACACACUAUUUUGUAUUGCAUGCAUCAAAAAGGAGUAUACAAAAACUUCUAGGAAACCUUUGUGUGAUAAAAUAUAAUGAGAAUGCUUUUACAGUGGUUAUGCAGGAGGAAUUUAUAUCUGUCAAGUGAAAUGUCAUGAAAUUAU